AGCGAACGCUGGCGGCAGGCCUAACACAUGCAAGUCGAACGAACCUUUCGGGGUUAGUGGCGGACGGGUGAGUAACACGUGGGAACGUGCCUUUAGGUUCGGAAUAACUCAGGGAAACUUGUGCUAAUACCGAAUGUGCCCUUCGGGGGAAAGAUUUAUCGCCUUUAGAGCGGCCCGCGUCGGAUUAGCUAGUUGGUUGAGGUAAUGGCUCACCAAGGCGACGGUCAGUAGCUGGUCUGAGAGGAUGAGCAGCAACAUUGGGACUGAGACACGGCCCAAACUCCUACGGGAGGCAGCAGUGGGGAAUCUUGCGCAAUGGGCGAAAGCCUGACGCAGCCAUGCCGCGUGAAUGAUGAAGGUCUUAGGAUUGUAAAAUUCUUUCACCGGGGACGAUAAUGACGGUACCCGGAGAAGAAGCCCCGGCUAACUUCGUG
rnacentral:rRNA from 1 species